rnacentral:rRNA from 1 species
UACAGGGGGUGCAAACGUUGCUCGGAAUCAUUGGGCGUAAAGCGCACGUAGGCGGUCUGUUAUGUCGGAUGUGAAAGCCCUUGACUUAACUGAGGAAGUGCAUCCGAAACUGGCAGGCUAGAGUACUAAAGAGGGUCGCGGAAUUCCCGGUGUAGAGGUGAAAUUCGUAGAUAUCGAGAGGAACACCGGUGGCGAAGGCGGCGACCUGGGUAAAUACUGACGCUGAAGUGCGAAAGCGUGGGGAACAAACAGG